CAUAAUGUCGCAAGACCAAAGAGGGGGACCUUCGGGCCUCUUGCCAUCGGAUGUGCCCAGAUGGGAUUAGCUUGUUGGUGGGGUAACGGCUCACCAAGGCGACGAUCCCUAGCUGGUCUGAGAGGAUGACCAGCCACACUGGAACUGAGACACGGUCCAGACUCCUACGGGAGGCAGCAGUGGGGAAUAUUGCACAAUGGGCGCAAGCCUGAUGCAGCCAUGCCGCGUGUAUGAAGAAGGCCUUCGGGUUGUAAAGUACUUUCAGCGGGGAGGAAGGGAGUAAAGUUAAUACCUUUGCUCAUUGACGUUACCCGCAGAAGAAGCACCGGCUAACUCCGUGCCAGCAGCCGCGGUAAUACGGAGGGUGCAAGCGUUAAUCGGAAUUACUGGGCGUAAAGCGCACGCAGGCGGUUUGUUAAGUCAGAUGUGAAAUCCCCGGGCUCAACCUGGGAACUGCAUCUGAUACUGGCAAGCUUGAGUCUCGUAGAGGGGGGUAGAAUUCCAGGUGUAGCGGUGAAUGCGUAGAGAUCUGGAGGAUACCGGUGCGAAGCGGCCCCUGGACGAAGAC
rnacentral:rRNA from 1 species